UACGUAGGGUGCGAGCGUUUGUCCGGAAUUAUUGGGCGUAAAGAGCUCGUAGGCGGUUUGUCGCGUCUGCCGUGAAAGUCCGGGGCUCAACUCCGGAUCUGCGGUGGGUACGGGCAGACUAGAGUGUGGUAGGGGAGACUGGAAUUCCUGGUGUAGCGGUGAAAUGCGCAGAUAUCAGGAGGAACACCGAUGGCGAAGGCAGGUCUCUGGGCCACUACUGACGCUGAGAAGCGAAAGCAUGGGGAGCGAACAGG
rnacentral:rRNA from 1 species